rnacentral:rRNA from 1 species
AUACGUAUGUCGCAAGCGUUAUCCGGAUUUAUUGGGCGUAAAGCGCGUCUAGGCGGCUUAGUAAGUCUGAUGUGAAAAUGCGGGGCUCAACCCCGUAUUGCGUUGGAAACUGUUAAACUAGAGUACUGGAGAGGUAGGCGGAACUACAAGUGUAGAGGUGAAAUUCGUAGAUAUUUGUAGGAAUGCCGAUGGGGAAGCCAGCCUACUGGACAGAUACUGACGCUAAAGCGCGAAGGCGUGGGUAGCAAACAGGAUUAGAUACCCGGGUAGUCCACGCCGUAAACGAUGAUUACUAGGUGUUGGGGGUCGAGCCUCAGCGCCCAAGCUAACGCGAUAAGUAAUCCGCCUGGGGAGUACGUACGCAAGUAUGAAACUCAAAUGAAUUGACGGG